CAUUUUCUUCCCUGCUGAUAGAGCUUUACAUACCGAAAUACUUCUUCACUCACGCGGCGUCGCUGCAUCAGGGUUUCCCCCAUUGUGCAAUAUUCCCCACUGCUGCCUCCCGUAG
rnacentral:rRNA from 1 species